AGGACGAACGCUGGCGGCGUGCUUAACACAUGCAAGUCGAGCGAGGCCCUCUCCUUCGGGAGGGGUGCCCUAGCGGCGAACGGGUGAGUAACACGUGGGCAACCUGCCCCUAGCACUGGGAUAACUCCGGGAAACCGGGGCUAAUACCGGAUAUGACCUCGAAGGGCAUCCUUCGAGGUGUAAAGGAUUCUGGCUAGGGAUGGGCCCGCGGCCUAUCAGCUUGUUGGUGGGGUAACGGCCCACCAAGGCUCCGACGGGUAGCCGGCCUGAGAUGGCGACCGGCCACACUGGGACUGAGACACGGCCCAGACUCCUACGGGAGGCAGCAGUGGGGAAUAUUGCGCAAUGGGCGAAAGCCUGACGCAGCGACGCCGCGUGAGGGAUGACGGCCUUCGGUGUAAACCUCUUUCAGCUCUGACGAAGCGAGAGUGACGGUAGGAGCAGAAGAGCACCGGCCAACUACGUGCCAGCAGCCGC
rnacentral:rRNA from 1 species